rnacentral:rRNA from 1 species
GUGGGGAAUAUUGGACAAUGGGCGAAAGCCUGAUCCAGCCAUGCCGCGUGUGUGAAGAAGGUCUUCGGAUUGUAAAGCACUUUAAGUUGGGAGGAAGGGCAGUAAGUUAAUACCUUGCUGUUUUGACGUUACCGACAGAAUAAGCACCGGCUAACUUCGUGCCAGCAGCCGCGGUAAUACGAAGGGUGCAAGCGUUAAUCGGAAUUACUGGGCGUAAAGCGCGCGUAGGUGGUUUUGUAAGUUGGAGGUGAAAUCCCCGGGCUCAACCUGGGAACUGACUCCAAAACUGCAUGACUAGAGUACGGUAGAGGGUAGUGGAAUUUCCUGUGUAGCGGUGAAAUGCGUAGAUAUAGGAAGGAACACCAGUGGCGAAGGCGACUACCUGGACUGAUACUGACACUGAGGUGCGAAAGCGUGGGGAGCAAACAGGAUUAGAUAUCCCGGUAGUCC